ACUUUCGAAUUAACAGAAACUGAAUUUUUACUAGAUUGCGAAGAGCUAGAAUGAGAUGAUGAAUGGGAAUGAUAAGAAGAUUCAUUAAGCGGAUUCGACCGUCAAUCACUUAAGAUGCCUUUUCAUGCUGACGCUCGACGCUCGAUUUCGGCGUCAAAACUAAUCACGUGACCAAAUCUGUCAGUGGAAGGAGAAAUAGUGAACGUCAACGUUUGUUCAGUUUGUUCAGCAUUUUAAUGUCAACAAGCGUUUUUAGCAUUGUGACUACAGUUGCAGCAUUAACGAGUGAUUGUUACAUAUACACAUAAUGUCUAGUGUAUAUAAAUAUCAAGCAUGGAUUACUCAAUGUCAGAAAAUUAUAGACAAAACAAAAAAACAGAAACUGCGAAAAAGAGUUGUAAUGACUCUUAUUAUUAAUGAAAUUAUAAAACUGAAGAAAAAAAGGGCUUACAAAAAAAGCGUUUUUGGGUACAUCCACUAUUUCAACUGCGACACGUUCGUGGAUUUUAUAAAGCCAUAUUUCCAACACUUUUUGCAUGGAGACAAAUUUCAAAAUUAUUUACGUAUGACAACAAUUCAAUUUGAAGAACUAUUGUGUUUGGUUGGCCCUUUUAUUUCCAAACUAAAUGUAACAAAAAAGUCUAUACCUGCUGCAGAACGAUUGGUUAUGACAUUAAGAUAUUUAGCGACAGGUGACUGUAUGACUUCCACUUCUAAUCAAUAUCUUGUUGGCCUUACUACAACAAGUAAAAUCAUUCAUGAAACCUGUAAAACACUUUGGACUUGUCUUAGUAAGGAAGCAUUGCCGUAUCCUUUACAAAUAACAGAUUGGUUAAAUAUUGCUGAAGAGUUUGAAAACCAAUGGAAUUUCAACCAUUGCAUAGGUGCUAUUGAUGGAAAACGUGUUGUAAUUCAGUGUCCUGAUAAUGCUGGUUCUACUUACUUUAAUUAUAAAAAUAGUCACAGCAUCGUAUUGCUAGGAAUCUGUGACGCUAAUUACUUGUUUACAUUCAUUGACAUUGGUGCUUAUGGUCGACGUAGCGAUGGUGGAAUUUUAGAGACUCGCUAAUAGGCGAUGAAGCAUUUCAGUUAACUGAUUAUUUACUACGGCCGUAUCCUGGAAAAGGAAGUCUUAAUCCAGAUCAAAACAAUUUCAAUUACCGUCUCAGCCGUGCUCGAAGAACAAUAGAAAAUUCUUUCGGAAUAUUAGUUAGUCAGUGGAGAAUUUUAAGAAAACCUAUUGAAACUAUUGUAGAUAAUACAAUAAACAUAGUCCAUAUGUCUUCAUAUGUCUUCAUAAUUGGCUUCGAAAAUGUGACAAUUUAAACGAAUACAUUCCACCAAACUUGAUUGAUCAAUAUGGUCCUAACGGUUUAAUUCCGGGACUUUGGAGACAAGAAAUAGAGAAUUCGGCAUUAAGAGAUAUUAGUGUGCGUGGUAAUAAUAACAGUAGUCGACUUGCUGCAGCUAUCAGAGAAGAAUUUUGUGAUUUUUUUGCUGGAGAAGAUACUGUUCCUUGGCAGUAUAAUCGUAAUUAAAAUUAAUUAAUUUAAAAAUGAUUUUAAACUUGUGUUACAUGUAACUUUGUGUUUGCUGGGAAGAAACAGUAUGAAUUUGUAUAUUGUAUAAUUUUUAUAUGUAAAGACAAAAUAAAAAUUACAACUGAAUUUGAUACUUUUAAUGCACGCUAAACAUUAAACAUUAAACAUUAACAAGAAAUUAUGGCGUUUGCAAGAUAUUUUCCUCUGCCAAUCAAGUGUGAACCACCCGAGUAGAAUUUCAUCUAGUACGUUUGACUUAAAACCUAGUAGCUAGAUAGUAUUGGCUACAUACAGUUUUCUAGUUUGGUACUAGCUCGCUUCUGGCUGAGUAUUCGUAAUCAGUUGGUGUAAUCUAGUUGGUGUCUAGUAAUCAUAUAGAAAUGACGAUAAUAGAUGGCGCUGUUUUUCCAGAAAACAUGAACUAGUUACAAUCUAGUUACUAGCAGUUAUAAAAUUGGUUAACAGAUCCAAGAGAAAGGUUAUGUUCCUGCCUUACAAU
rnacentral:sRNA from 1 species